rnacentral:rRNA from 1 species
UACGUAGGGACCAAGCGUUGUUCGGAUUUACUGGGCGUAAAGGGCGCGUAGGCGGCGUGGUAAGUCAGCUGUGAAAUCUCCGGGCUUAACUCGGAAAGGUCAACUGAUACUGUGCGACUAGAGUGCAGAAGGGGCAACUGGAAUUCUCGGUGUAGCGGUGAAAUGCGUAGCUAUCGAGAGGAACACCUGCGGCGAAGGCGGGUUGCUGGGCUGACACUGACGCUGAGGCGCGAAAGCCAGGGGAGCGAACGGG